ACUACACUGUGACUAGAACUGAACACAGACAGCUCACCAUGGAGCUUGGGCUGAGCUGGGUUUUCCUCCUUGCCAUUCUGAAUGGUGUCCAGGCUGAGGUGCAGCUGGUGGAGUCCGGGGGAGGCUUGGUGAAGCCUGGUGAAUCCCUGAGACUAUCCUGUGUGGCCUCAGGAUUCAAUUUUGGGAGUUACGGCAUGCACUGGAUCCGCCAGGCUCCAGGGAAGGGGCUGGAGUGGAUCUCAGCUAUCGGUAGUACUGAUACUUACUACGCAGACUCCGUGAAGGGCCGAUUCACCAUCUCCAGAGAAAACAGCAAGAAUACACUAUAUCUGCAAAUGAGCAGCUUGAAAACUGAGGACACAACCUUAUAUUACUGUACAAGAGACACAGUGAAGUGA